rnacentral:rRNA from 1 species
AUUGAACGCUGGCGGCGUGCUUAACACAUGCAAGUCGAUCGGUAACGCGGGGGCAACCCUGGCGACGAGAGGCGGACGGGUGAGGAACGCUUGGGAAUCUGCCCUUCAGCGGGGGACAACACGGGGAAACUCGUGCUAAUACCGCAUACGCUCCACGGAGGAAAGCCGGGGACCGCAAGGCCUGGCACUGAAGGAUGAGCCCAAGUCGGAUUAGCUAGUUGGCGGGGUAACGGCCCACCAAGGCGACGAUCCGUAGCUGGUCUGAGAGGACGAUCAGCCACACUGGGACUGAGACACGGCCCAGACUGCUACGGGAGGCAGCAGUGGGGAAUAUUGGACAAUGGGGGAAACCCUGAUCCAGCGACGCCGCGUGGGUGAAGAAGGCCUGCGGGUUGUAAAGCCCUUUCGGUAGGGACGAAAGCUCUCGACCCAACACGUCGGGAGGUUGACUUAACCUACAAAAGAAGCACCGGCUAACUCUGUGCCAGCCGCCGCCGUAACAC